rnacentral:rRNA from 1 species
UACAGAGGUCUCAAGCGUUGUUCGGAUUCAUUGGGCGUAAAGGGUGCGUAGGCGGCGCGGUAAGUCGGGUGUGAAAUCUUGGAGCUUAACUCCGAAACUGCAUUCGAUACUGCCGUGCUUGAGGACUGGAGAGGAGACUGGAAUUUACGGUGUAGCGGUGAAAUGCGUAGAUAUCGUAAGGAAGACCAGUGGCGAAGGCGGGUCUCUGGACAGUUCCUGACGCUGAGGCACGAAGGCCAGGGGAGCAAAACGGGGAUUAGAAACCCCUUG